GCCAGUGUGGUGUAGUGGUUUAAGCAUUGGACUAGGAUUCUGAAGCCCAAGGUUUGAAUCCUUGCUUGGCCA